GACGAACGCUGGCGGCGUGCUUAACGCAUGCAAGUCGAACGGAAAGGCCCUGCUUGCAGGGUACUCGAGUGGCGAACGGGUGAGUAACACGUGGGUGAUCUGCCCUGCACUUCGGGAUAAGCCUGGGAAACUGGGUCUAAUACCGGAUAGGAGCCAUUUUUAGUGUGAUGGUUGGAAAGUUUUUUCGGUGUAGGAUGAGCUCGCGGCCUAUCAGCUUGUUGGUGGGGUAAUGGCCUACCAAGGCGGCGACGGGUAGCCGGCCUGAGAGGGUGGACGGCCACAUUGGGACUGAGAUACGGCCCAGACUCCUACGGGAGGCAGCAGUGGGGAAUAUUGCACAAUGGGCGCAAGCCUGAUGCAGCGACGCCGCGUGGGGGAUGACGGCCUUCGGGUUGUAAACUCCUUUCGCUAGGGACGAAGCUUUUUGUGACGGUACCUAGAUAAGAAGCACCGGCUAACUACGUG
rnacentral:rRNA from 1 species